UCCGUAGCCACCGAUGUACUCCGAGCCAGU
rnacentral:piRNA from 1 species